CUUUCCACAGUAAGUGCUAAUGUAGUCCUUACUCAGCACGCCAGCCCAUCAAAGCUUGGAGCACCGUGUCCGUUUUCAGUCAGACAGAUUGUUAGUGAGGUAGCAAUUUGUCACGCCGGCCCAGGAUCCACAUACAGCCGCCUGCACUGCCUGCGUACCCAAACUCAUUGUAGCAAUAACAAAGGCUAGCCCUCCCCUAAUUUAUUUUAGACUGUAUAUUUUAUUCAGGGAGGCUGUAAUUUAUUCAUAUUUCCAAACGUUUCUUUAUUACUGUUUAAACAUCUGUUAUUUUGCUUUAUGGAGUCGAUCUAGCUGGCUGCUCCCUUAAUACUUAAUGCUUUCAUCAGAGCUAGAGCCCUUACUCUGCAGUCAGGAUAAAUGUUGCCAAUUUAUUGGCCCUGUCUCAACAAGUAGAAAGGAUGCUCCCUUGCUCAUAAAGCCAAGUGUCCGCUCAUCCCAGUGCAUAUUUCUCACCCUCUCUAUUCUCUCUUUCUGUCAUCUUCUCUGUUUCUGGUGCUUCAUCUCUCCCUCUCUCUUUCUAUUGCUCCCUCUCUUCCUCUCUCCUCACUUUCUGCCGUUCUUUCCCAAGAUGUUGCUUCAUCUCUCUCUUUCCCUCUCAACAUCAGUCCCACCCCAGCAUCCAGUAAUCCAGGGUCUGGACAGAGAAGGCCCAGUGAAGAGGGGGACCAUGUUGAAGCUGGUUUGUGUGUCCCAGGGAGGGAACCCACUGGCCACCCUACACUGGACCAAGAAUGGGGAGGUGAUUUCCACCAGCUGGGAGGUGGACACAGAGUCGCGACGGGCCAUCAGCCACCUGACCCUGCAGGUUAAACCACAGGACAACCAGGCCGAGCUGCACUGUGAAAGUGUCAACCAGGUGACCCCUGUCCCUCUGUCCGACAACCUUAAGAUCACUGUCCUCUUUGAGCCAAAGAAGGUGAUGGUGCUGGGGUCGUUCGAGGCAAGAGAGGGGGAGGAGGUGACCCUGUGCUGUUAAACCUACACCAGUAACCCACCUGUACACAUCCGCUGGUGGCUGGGCUUCAGGGAACUCAACACCACCGUGGUAAAUGUGGAAGAGUCCCUGCAGUGAGUGUGACAAUCAUAGCCAAGCAGAAAGAGCUGCGUCGGGGCCAAAACCUCAGUCUGCACUGCCUGUCUGGGAGCAGCAACCCCCAGGCCAACAUCUCCUGGAGCCUGGGCCCAACCAGGUGAGGGGAGGGAAGGUUAAAGGGGAGCCAGUCUGUGGGCCGCGGAGGAGUCAAUGGAGACCCUAGACUACAGUCUUGUGCAGGAUCUGUGACAGCGUGGGCACCGCCACUGAGGCUACAACCCAUAGGAAUCCCCACCCAGUUGACUACUUUGACUACUUUAAAAUGGAGGAAGCAUGGUGGAAGCCCUCAUUGAUGCUGCCCAUGAUAAAAUGGCCAUUUGGCCACUAGAGGCCUCUAUCAUUCUUUGAUGUUUUCCUCAGCACCACUGUGAGCGUUCUGUUUCAGUGCCGCUCUGAUGGCACACACACACCACAGAAUAAAUUAAUCAACUGUCAAAGCACAGAAGAAAAAAUGAAUUUGUUAUUUAAUUCAUUUAAACUGCAACCUGGCCACGGAUUUAUCGAAUGUUCAAAAUAGACUCACCAAAUGUUUUCCUCUCACCUCUCAUCAGGCUCAUAGGAACACAACGUUUGGUGAUGUGUCAGUAAGCAGUACUCUGUCCCUCCCCCUGUCCUCCCAGCACCAUGGCCAGAGGAUCACCUGUCAGGCCUACAGCUCUCUGCUGUCUGAGGGAGUCAACACCUUCUUCAAGCUCAACACCUUCUUCAAGCUUCUUCAACUGUAUGGGUUGUACACGUGUAUAUUUCUCUCUGUUUGUUAUACACAGCUUUUGAAUACUUCAUUUGUUUCACUGUGAAUGCUUAAUUUGUUUCAAUGGGAUCCAAAUAAAGUAUUGAAUAUGUGUGUGCACAGUUAUGAGUAGGAGAAAAAGAAAGUGUGUGCUGGUGGGUAAUGAGGCUUGAAGCAUGAUGGUAAUGUGACACGAUAGUUUGUGUGUGUUUGUGCUGUUCUCUGUGUUUGCAUGUGUGUGUAUGUGUGUGUGUGUAUGAGUGUGUGUUAAUUUAUUCCUUUGUUGUGACUGUGGGUUAGACAGGCUCUGUGGCAGUGUGUUCUAAUUGUGUGUGUGCUUUGCAGCACAGCCAUGUUAUUCUUUGAUGCUGUUUCGCAGGCUGUAGCCAGCCAGCUCUUCAAAGCCUGCUGCUCCGUGCGAGCAUGAAGGAAUGUCACUGUGUGUUUGUGUGCAGCUGCUGUUGGACAACACUACUGUCACUCGCUGUUUUAAUGCCUGUCCCUCCACCUCC